rnacentral:rRNA from 1 species
CCUACGGGACGCAGCAGUGGGGAAUAUUGGACAAUGGGCGAAAGCCUGAUCCAGCAAUGCCGCGUGUGUGAAGAAGGUCUUCGGAUUGUAAAGCACUUUCGACGGGGACGCUGAUGACGGUACCCGUAGAAGAAGCCCCGGCUAACUUCGUGCCAGCAGCCGCGGUAAUACGAAGGGGACUAGCGUUGCUCGGAAUGACUGGGCGUAAAGGGCGCGUAGGCGGUUUAUGCAGUCAGAUGUGAAAUCCCCGGGCUUAACCUGGGAACUGCAUUUGAGACGCAUAGACUAGAGGUCGAGAGAGGGUUGUGGAAUUCCCAGUGUAGAGGUGAAAUUCGUAGAUAUUGGGAAGAACACCGGUGGCGAAGGCGGCAACCUGGCUCGAUACUGACGCUGAGGCGCGAAAGCGUGGGGAGCAAACAGGAUUAGAUACCCCCGUAGUC